rnacentral:rRNA from 1 species
CUGCUGCCUCCCGUAGGAGUCUGGGCCGUGUCUCAGUCCCAGUGUGGCCGGCCACCCUCUCAGGCCGGCUACCCAUCGUCGCCUUGGUAGGCCAUUACCCUACCAACUAGCUAAUGGGACGCGAGUCCAUCUUUCAGCGUCAGGUCUCCCCAACUUUUCCUAUAUAAACAUGCACUUAUAUAACUCAUCCGGCAUUAGCUCACCUUUCGGUGAGUUGUUCCAGUCUAAAAGGCAGGUCACUCACGUGUUACU